GUAGCUACUGGAGCUAGCUAACUAGCUAAUCCACAUUUGGACCUAGCACUAGAAGACAACCCUAAACUCCAACCUAGCUAGCCUGGCUCACUCUCGCGCAUCUGUGUUCGCGCUCAGGGGGUAGGACCAUUUGAGUUGUGUAUUUUCAAAAUCUGCUGGCGUAUCGCAAAUCUCAUAUCCAACCUUUAAUCUAACUUGUAAAAACUAAUUUCGAGUCAUCUGUCUCAAGUCUAAAUCAAGUCUCAAGUCAUGAAGACCAAGUCAAAGUCAAGUCGAGUCUUUUAUCAGUGUUAGUCAAGCAAGUCUCAAGUCCUCAAAUUUGCGACUCGAGUCUGACUCGAGUCAAGUCAUGUGACUCGAGUCCCCCAUGUCUGGU